AUGAGCUGGGCUACACCCACCCACAAAAAGUUUGUGCACUUUCCUGAAUUCCUCCCUCUCAAUUCCCUCCAUUCAUUACAGGGAGCCAAAAUGAUCCCAUGGCUGAAUUGGGUGUCCUUGUUAGUGCUCCUUCAAGGAGUCCAGUCUCAAGUCCAGUUGGUGGAGUCUGGAGGGGAUGUGAGAAGACCUGGAGAGUCCCUCCGUCGCUCCUGCCAAGUCUCUGGAUUCACCUUCAGCAGCUAUCCCAUUGGCUGGUUGAGACAGUAUCCAGGGAAAGGACUUGAAUGGGUGGCAUCAAUAGCUACAGGCUCAUCUCCUAAGAUUUACUACCUAGACAAAGUCAAGGGACGCUUCACCAUCUCCAGGGAUGAUUCUCACAGCCAGCUGUAUCUGCAAAUGAACAGCCUCAAACUAGAGGAUUCUGCAGUUUAUUUCUGUGCGAGAGACACAAGUGGCGUGUUAUGUGAAAAUCACCCAUAUAAACUGUGA